CCUACGGGGGGCUGCAGUAAGGAAUAUUGGUCAAUGGACGCAAGUCUGAACCAGCCAUGCCGCGUGGAGGAUGAAGGUCCUCUGGAUUGUAAACUUCUUUUAUUUGGGAAGAAACUCCCGAUUUCCAUCGGGAUUGACGGUACCAGAUGAAUAAGCACCGGCUAACUCCGUGCCAGCAGCCGCGGUAAGACGGAGGGUGCCAGCGUCAUCCGGAUUCCCGGGUGUUUAGGGGGGCAGGUAAGUCAGUGGUGAAAUCUCCGGGCUUGACCCGGAAACUGCCAUUGAUACUAUUUGUCUUGAAUACUCUGGAGGUGAGCGGAAUAUGUCAUGUAGCGGUGAAAUGCUUAGAUAUGACAUAGAACACCCAUUGCGAAGGCAGCUCACUACGGAAAUAUUGACGCUGAGGCACGAAAGCGUGGGGAUCAAACAGGAUUAGAUACCCUGGUAGUC
rnacentral:rRNA from 1 species